rnacentral:lncRNA from 1 species
GUUGCGACAAAUUAAUAACCUCUCUACCUCAUUCUUUAGAGGGAAGCAUUUUUUUAAUCGCUUCAUGUUGUUAAUUGAGGUUAUAAUUUCAUAACAUCUCUCCAAUCUCAGCUAUGCAUAUUUGCAUGUCCCAAUACCUCUCAUCCCAAACUAGUCAUCAGGCCAAUGAAGUACCGAAAGAAAUAGUAAACCACAACUGAAUGUGGUUUUGGUUAAUUAGCAUGGAGAUAAGACUGAGAAGUUCAGCAGCACUGAGCUACCAAAAAGAGG